rnacentral:rRNA from 1 species
CCUACGGGUGGCAGCAGUGGGGAAUAUUGGACAAUGGGCGAAAGCCUGAUCCAGCCAUGCCGCGUGUGUGAAGAAGGCCUUCGGGUUGUAAAGCACUUUCAGUGGGGAAGAAAGCCUUGGGGCUAAUACCCUCGAGGAAGGACAUCACCCACAGAAGAAGCACCGGCUAACUCCGUGCCAGCAGCCGCGGUAAUACGGAGGGUGCGAGCGUUAAUCGGAAUUACUGGGCGUAAAGCGCGCGUAGGCGGUCUGAUAAGCCGGUUGUUAAAGCCCCGGGCUCAACCUGGGAACGGCAUCCGGAACUGUCAGGCUAGAGUGCAGGAGAGGAAGGUAGAAUUCCCGGUGUAGCGGUGAAAUGCGUAGAGAUCGGGAGGAAUACCAGUGGCGAAGGCGGCCUUCUGGACUGACACUGACGCUGAGGUGCGAAAGCGUGGGUAGCAAACAGGAUUAGAUACCCCAGUAGUC